rnacentral:rRNA from 1 species
GAUGAACGCUAGCGGCAGGCUUAAUACAUGCAAGUCGUGGGGCAGCAUGAGUAGCAAUACUUGAUGGCGACCGGCAAACGGGUGAGGAACACGUACACAACCUUCCUUCAAGCGGGAAUAGCCCAGAGAAAUUUGGAUUAAUACCCCAUAAUAUAUUUGAUAAGGCAUCUUAUUAAUAAUUAAAGCUUCGGCACUUGAUGAUGGGUGUGCGGCUGAUUAGAUAGUUGGCGGGGUAACGGCCCACCAAGUCUACGAUCAGUAGCUGAUGUGAGAGCAUGAUCAGCCACACGGGCACUGAGACACGGGCCCGACUCCUACGGGAGGCAGCAGUAAGGAAUAUUGGACAAUGGACGAAAGUACUGAUCCAGCCA